rnacentral:lncRNA from 1 species
UAAGUUGCCUGAUAUAGGAGAUGCAUGCAAGUGACUGUGGAGCCAUUUCCGGGUCUUCAUGUGCUGCAAUCUAAUGGUAGCUCCACUCAUGACGGCAUCACCUUGCUUUGCUGUUGUCCCAGGCACAGGUUUAACAAUCUAUCAAAAAGAAUAGUCCAUGACAAGAUAAAUGCACCAGCUCCAUUACUCCAUCAUAACUCAUUAAAAACCAUUGCUUCAGAUCAAAUACAAAUUAAUGUUCUGUUCUAACAUACAAAAAACAGGCAGACCUGAGAUUUAGGGGGCAAUUUAUUAACGAUUUUAACUAAAAACUUUUUUUACAAUUUUGAAAGCCUAAAUUUUUUUUUUUGGAAGCCUAUGUUUAUGUAGUGUUCUUCAAAAACAUUUUGGGGGUGGUAAGGCACCCAAUGUUUCAUUCGGCUUUGCCCAGGACCGGCCGUGAUCCAAAGACUCCAAUUUUAAGUUGCUCUAAUACACCAUAUCUUCAAAUUUAAUAAACUAAUAUAUAAGGAUAAGAGAAGCUAGUUGAUGUUUUGUUCCAAGACUUGAAACAAAAUGAUCUUCUUGUGUAAAAGCAAUAAAGUACCCAGUAGCUGUUGGAAUCAACGACGCCAGGAAAGCCAGUGACUGACUGCUGCCCACUGCCGGAUCCAUAGGGCACAUCGUGAGAAUGCAGUCGAACCUUUGUCUUCUCGUGCAUCAGCUUCAUCGCACUUCCAUACGUAAUCUAUACAUCACAACGAGAUACCGAAUUCGAAUCAAAUGCAAGAAGAAACACUAAAUCGAUACAAUGUAUACACACACCUCGACGCCUUCUUUACCCGAAGCGGCGGCGGCGGAGGCAGACGUGUACGCUGGUACUUUUUGUCAUGGCUAUGGAGGUAGCCACUAGUGUCUAUGUGUUGAAGUCGGACUCUUUGGUCUUGUUUCCAUGUCUUCCCGCUCCCUUCGAUUAUAAGCCUAUGAAACAGAUCGUAAGGUGUGAGUGUGAGCUUCUAUGUGGAUGCAAACACACUAAACAUUUAGAUGAGUAUCAAAUAGCUUUUAAGGGAUUAUAAUUACUUCCAGUGAUCCCCAGUAUCGGAAUUUGAAUCAUCUCCAAAGCAGCUAACCUGCACCAAGAAAAUUGGGUUAGCAAGAAGAAGAAUGCAACUACCAAUUUAAACCGGCACAGUACUUCACAAUUCACAUAGACCCACUAUAAUAAUAUCCUCAUACUACACUGCUUAAAACCAUAAGAUAGAUCUUUAACCCAAGCUUAGCGGAUCAGGGCAUACAAAAACGUUUUAAAUGGAAGAGAAUAAUAACCUCUAAGUUGCCUGAUAUAGGAGAUGCAUGCAAGUGACUGUGGAGCCAUUUCCGGGUCUUCAUGUGCUGCAAUCUAAUGGUAGCUCCACUCAUGACGGCAUCACCUUGCUUUGCUGUUGUCCCAGGCACAGGUUUAACAAUCUAUCAAAAAGAAUAGUCCAUGACAAGAUAAAUGCACCAGCUCCAUUACUCCAUCAUAACUCAUUAAAAACCAUUGCUUCAGAUCAAAUACAAAUUAAUGUUCUGUUCUAACAUACAAAAAACAGGCAGACCUGAGAUUUAGGGGGCAAUUUAUUAACGAUUUUAACUAAAAACUUUUUU